rnacentral:rRNA from 2 species
UCCCUACGGGGCGCACCAGGCGCGAAAACUUUACAAUGCGGGCAACCGUGAUAAGGGAACCUCGAGUGCCUGUAUAUGCAGGCUGUCCAGGUGUCUAAAACACACCUGAAGAAAGGGCCGGGCAAGACCGGUGCCAGCCGCCGCGGUAAUACA